rnacentral:rRNA from 1 species
CCUAGGGGAGGCAGCAGUGAGGAAUAUUGGUCAAUGGCCGUAAGGCUGAACCAGCCAAGUAGCGUGAGGGAAGACUGCCCUAUGGGUUGUAAACCUCUUUUAUGCGGGGAUAAAGGUGUCCACGUGUGGAUGUUUGCAGGUACCGCAUGAAUAAGGACAGGCUAAUUCCGUUCCAGCAGCCGGGGUAAUACGGAAGGUCCGGGCGUUAUCCGGAUUGAUUGGGGUUAAAUGGAGCGUAGGCCGGUCUUUAAGCGUGCAGUGAAAUUUUGUGGCUCAACCAUGACAGUGCGGCGCGAACUGGAGGCCUUGAGUGCGCGGACGGCAGGCGGAAUUCGUGGUGUAGCGGUGAAAUGCGUAGAUAUCACGAAGAACCCCGAGUGCGAAGGCAGCCUGCCGCAGCGUUACUGACGCUGAAGCUCGAAAGCGCGGGUAUCGAACAGGAUUAGAUACCCGGGUAGUC